rnacentral:rRNA from 1 species
GACGAACGCUGGCGGCGUGCUUAACACAUGCAAGUCGAACGAGUGGCGAACGGGUGAGUAAUGUAUGGGGAUCUGCCCGAUAGAGGGGGAUAACUACUGGAAACGGUGGCUAAUACCGCAUACUAUCGGAUGAACCCAUAUGGGAUUAGCUAGUAGGUGGGGUAAAGGCUCACCUAGGCGACGAUCUCUAGCUGGUCUGAGAGGAUGAUCAGCCACACUGGGACUGAGACACGGCCCAGACUCCUACGGGAGGCAGCAGUGGGGAAUAUUGCACAAUGGGCGCAAGCCUGAUGCAGCCAUGCCGCGUGUAUGAAGAAGGCCUUAGGGUUGUAAAGUACUUUCAGCGGGGAGGCGUUACCCGCAGAAGAAGCACCGGCUAACUCCGUGCCAGCAGCCGCGGUAAUUC